AGUGAACGCUGGCGGUAGGCCUAACACAUGCAAGUCGAACGGCAGCACAGUAAGAGCUUGCUCUUACGGGUGGCGAGUGGCGGACGGGUUAGGAAUACAUCGGAAUCUACUUUUUCGUGGGGGAUAACGUAGGGAAACUUACGCUAAUACCGCAUACGACCUACGGGUGAAAGCAGGGGAUCUUCGGACCUUGCGCGAUUGAAUGAGCCGAUGUCGGAUUAGCUAGUUGGCGGGGUAAAGGCCCACCAAGGCGACGAUCCGUAGCUGGUCUGAGAGGAUGAUCAGCCACACUGGAACUGAGACACGGUCCAGACUCCUACGGGAGGCAGCAGUGGGGAAUAUUGGACAAAGGGCGCAAGCCUGAUCCAGCCAUACCGCGUGGGUGAAGAAGGCCUUCGGGUUGUAAAUCCCUUUUGUUGGGAAAGAAAAGCAGCAGGUUAAUACCCCGCUGUUCUGACGGUACCCAAAGAAUAAGCACCGGCUAACUUCGUG
rnacentral:rRNA from 1 species